AACGAACGCUGGCGGCAGGCCUAACACAUGCAAGUCGAGCGCCCCGCAAGGGGAGCGGCGGACGGGUGAGUACCGCGUGGGAACGUACCCUUUGCUACGGAAUAGCCUCGGGAAACUGGGAGUAAUACCGUAUGUGUCCUUCGGGAGAAAGAUUUAUCGGCAAGGGAUCGGCCCGCGUUGGAUUAGGUAGUUGGUGGGGUAAUGGCCUACCAAGCCGACGAUCCAUAGCUGGUUUGAGAGGAUGAUCAGCCACACUGGGACUGAGACACGGCCCAGACUCCUACGGGAGGCAGCAGUGGGGAAUCUUAGACAAUGGGCGCAAGCCUGAUCUAGCCAUGCCGCGUGAGCGAUGAAGGCCUUAGGGUUGUAAAGCUCUUUCAGGGGGGAAGAUAAUGACUGUACCCCCAGAAGAAGCCCCGGCUAACUCCGUG
rnacentral:rRNA from 1 species